rnacentral:rRNA from 1 species
ACGUAUUAAAUAUCGCACUCCCAGGGCAUCUUAUACUAUUCUUAUAAUUAUUUCAUAAUUUUUAUUAUGAAUAAAGGUGCACCUAGAGCGUACACGCUGGGACCCGAAAGAUGGUGAACUAUGCCUGGUCAGGACGAAGUCAGGGGAAACCCUGAUGGAGGUCCGUAGCGAUUCUGACGUGCAAAUCGAUCGUCGGAACUGGGUAUAGGGGCGAAAGACUAAU